ACGGCCAUACCACAUUGAAAACACCGGUUCUCGUCCGAUCAUCGAAGUUAAGCAAUGUCGGUCAGUACUUGGGAGGGUGACCACCUGGGUGCUGUAGGCU